UACGAAGGGUGCAAGCGUUAAUCGGAAUUACUGGGCGUAAAGCGUGCGUAGGUGGUUCGUUAAGUCUGAUGUGAAAGCCCUGGGCUCAACCUGGGAACUGCAUUGGAUACUGGCGAUCUGGAGUGCGGUAGAGGGUGGCGGAAUUCCCGGUGUAGCAGUGAAAUGCGUAGAUAUCGGGAGGAACAUCCGUGGCGAAGGCGGCCACCUGGACCAGCACUGACACUGAGGCACGAAAGCGUGGGGAGCAAACAGG
rnacentral:rRNA from 1 species